AAUCAACGCUGGCGGCGUGCCUAACACAUGCAAGUCGAACGCGAAAGGGGAGCAAUCCCCGAUUAGAGUGGCAAACGGGUGAGUAACACGUGGGUGACCUGCCUUCGAGUGGGGGAUAACCUUCCGAAAGGAGGGCUAAUACCGCAUGACAUACCGUGUUUGGAUACACGGAUAUCAAAGCCGGGGAUCGCAAGACCUGGCGCUUGGAGAGGGGCCCGCGUCCGAUUAGCUAGUUGGUGGGGAACGGCUCACCAAGGCUCCGAUCGGUAUCCGGCCUGAGAGGGCGGACGGACACACUGGAACUGAGACACGGUCCAGACUCCUACGGGAGGCAGCAGUGGGGAAUUGUUCGCAAUGGGCGAAAGCCUGACGACGCAACGCCG
rnacentral:rRNA from 1 species